GACGAACGCUGGCGGCGUGCUUAACACAUGCAAGUCGAACGAAGAGCGAUGGACGCUUGCUUCUAUCAAUCUUAGUGGCGAACGGGUGAGUAACGCGUAAUCAACCUGCCCUUCAGAGGGGGACAACAGUUGGAAACGACUGCUAAUACCGCAUACGAUCUAAUCUCGGCAUCGAGGAUAGAUGAAAGGUGGCCUCUACAUGUAAGCUAUCACUGAAGGAGGGGAUUGCGUCUGGUUAGCUAGUUGGAGGGGUAACGGCCCACCAAGGCGAUGAUCAGUAGCCGGUCUGAGAGGAUGAACGGCCACAUUGGGACUGAGACACGGCCCAGACUCCUACGGGAGGCAGCAGUGGGGAAUCUUCCGCAAUGGACGAAAGUCUGACGGAGCAACGCCGCGUGAGUGAUGACGGCCUUCGGGUUGGAAAGCUCUGUUAAUCGGGACGAAAGGCCUUCUUGCGAAUAGUGAGAAGGAUUGACGGUACCGGAAGAGAAAGCCACGGCUAACUACGUG
rnacentral:rRNA from 1 species